rnacentral:rRNA from 1 species
ACGUAAUAGAUACCCCGGUAGUCCACACCCUAAACGAUGUCUACUAGUUGUCGGGUCUUAAUUGACUUGGUAAACGCAGCUAAACGCGUGAAAGUAGACCGCCUGGGGAGUACGGUCGCAAGAUUAAAACUCAAAGGAAUUGACGGGGACCCGCACAAGCGGUGGAUGAUGUGGAUUAAUUCGAUGCAACGCGAAAAACCUUACCUACCCUUGACAUGGAUGGAAUCCCUGAGAGAUCGGGGAGUGCUCGAAAGAGAACCAUUACACAGGUGCUGCAUGGCUGUCGUCAGCUCGUGUCGUGAGAUGUUGGGUUAAGUCCCGCAACGAGCGCAACCCUUGUCAUUAGUUGCUACGAAAGGGCACUCUAAUGAGACUGCCGGUGACAAACCGGAGGAAGGUGGGGAUGACGUCAAGUCCUCAUGGCCCUUAUGGGUAGGGCUUCACACGUCAUACAAUGGUACAUACAGAGGGCCGCCAACCCGCGAGGGGGAGCUAAUCCCAGAAAGUGUAUCGUAGUCCGGAUUGUAGUCUGCAACUCGACUGC